rnacentral:rRNA from 1 species
UACGUAGAGUGCAAGCGUUGUCCGGAAUUACUGGGCGUAAAGCGUGCGCAGGCGGUCUUUUAAGUCAGAUGUGAAAUCCCCGGGCUUAACCUGGGAACUGCGUUUGAAACUGGAAGGCUUGAGUGUGGCAGAGGGGGGUGGAAUUCCACGUGUAGCAGUGAAAUGCGUAGAGAUGUGGAGGAACACCGAUGGCGAAGGCAGCCCCCUGGGCUAACACUGACGCUCAUGCACGAAAGCGUGGGGAGCAAACAGG